UAUUUUGCAGUCUCAGUAAUACCCUUUUGGUUAGUUAUAAUUACAGGUGAAAUUGGUAUGUGAAUAUAAAGGCGUUCUUCCCAAAGUGUUACUCAAUGUGCGGCAGAUUUAUGAACGGUUUAAUGCUGACUCAAUAGCAGAUGCCGAUGAUGCUCGUCUUGAGUAUUUUACAAAGAAGGUGUUCCCAAAGAUAAAAGAUUCGAUUCAGGGUGGGAUAAUGCUAUUUACUAGUUCUUAUUUUGAAUUUGUUCGUCUUCGAAAUUUCUUUAAGUCACAGAAUGCAUCCUUCUGUCUGCU